rnacentral:lncRNA from 1 species
CACAGCCCAACCUGGUGAUAAUGAAUACUUCAAAUAUGCUUGUCCCAAGAGAGUGUCAGGAAUAUUCUAGAUCGCAUUCAGCCUCAGCCAUCUUAGCCUCAUGUACAGCUCAUCUGUGCAAUGCUAGAAGAGGUCUUGAAUAUUCAAGCCUGCAGUAAUUUUUAAGGGAGUUUUUGCAUUUCCCUUGUACUUAUAAGUGUUUGGUCUUUCCCCAAAAUUCUAUUACAGGUUGGAGAUCGAUUUGGGGUAUUGGAAUUUUGGUAGUAGAAGAAGGACACUUUAGGACAGCCUGGGUUAAGUCUAGAUAUUAAUGCCAAAUUGCACAUUAGUUAGGGGCUUAUGAUCCUGAAUAGUUUAACAUAUGAUUAAGAAGUGGCUCCGUUGAUAACACCACACACCUGGAUUCCAAGAGAAAACUCCAAUACAACACAGUCCUGAAUUUGUGAUUCCAAGAGAAAACUCCAAUACAACACAGUCCUGACUCUUCAAGCAGCUAGACUUCAUGUACCAGGAGACAGGUUACAGUUUUUUCCUAACUUUCUUUCCCUUCUUUCUCUUGUUUGGUGUGUAGUUUCUUUGUAUGUAACACAUGCAGAGGCCAGGAAGGGCAGGAUUGUGGAAAGUCAGUUCAGGCUAGAAGUGUGACUCAUCCAUAGGAGAAUAUGAGGAGGAGGAAGUUGGGUCUAAUACCUUAAAACAAUCCUUUACCCUGUGCUCUGUUCCCCAAGCCUGUUCCUGACACAGGAGUUACAAUCUGAUGAGCAGGGCCUUCAGGUGCAAUGGGGGAGUUUGCUCUAUCUGGCUCACUCUGUGCCCUCACCUGGCCGGAUACCCUCCUGCCCUUUUCUCCGUGAAAUAAUGCUCUAGAGACCUGAUCAGAGAGGUAAAUACACUCAGGUACAAAGGACUUCCAAGCUUUCCUGUACAACCCAUCCCAGAGGGAAGUGCUUCUUAGUGCUAUUCCUCAAGCUAAAGGAAUCAACCUUUAAAUCCACAAGUUGGGGUCUAUAGUUAGCAAGUUCUCUCAGGUAAAUAUUGAGCAGGGAGGUUCCCAUAAAUCCAUGAAAGCAGGCUGCAUAGCUGCCAGCCUUUUCUGCUUAUGCCUGAGGUCAGUCUUGGACAUAAUAAGCACCAGGAUAAUCUAGCAUGAAGGCAAGUCCCAGGACACCCUUUCUGUAGGUUGGUUUUUCUAUUUAAGCAUUUUUCCCCCUUUUUCAAGGAAGACACUUGGGUUAUAAUAUAUUAAGUGGUUCAAAUACACGAACUCCAGGGGAAAAGGCCUCUCCAGCCAGCCUUCAACAAACAGAACAGUUGGUCUCCUUGCUUCUUGACUCAGCUUCCCUUUUCUUUUGUUCGCCUCGGAGAGGCUGAUAGAGCUUGUUCAUACAACUUACUUAAGUAAGUCUAUCCAGGCAAAGCUGUGCACAGAAAGGAAAGGGAAAGGAGGAC